AAUUUUCAAAUUAAUUUUUAACUUGUUGACUCGUUAUCGUUUUUUCAAUUGAUUUGUUAACCCUAAUUCAUUGACUUAUCACGCGGCCUUGUGGUUAUUUUUCAUAAUUCUUGGGUAGCUGCGAUGUAGAUAAUAUUUAAAAAUAAAAAGUUAUAUCUAUAUUUUUCUUAGCUAAACUGCCGUAGGUUAUAAUAGUUUUUGCAAAUGAUACAAUAUGACG